UCUAUUUUGGGCCAUGGCCCAACUGAACAUUGGAGACAUCCCACUAGGUAGGGUUUUAAGUAGCGGCAGAAGGUCCCUUCAUCCUCAAACAAGCUAAAGCUUGCGUCGAUGAAUUAGGGUUUCUUCGUCGGAGCAGUCCAUAUAAACUAUUUCAAGCUUCUCUUUUCAUUAUUUUCCAAUUCAAUCAUCCUAUUUCUAUGCACGAUGCACCCCGGGCUACUCUUAUUAUCUCCAUGACGAUGAUGGCCCCAUUGCUCCUGCUAGAUUGUUGCCGUUUAGUGUUGCAGAUUAGCCUUUCGAUAGCCUGAUCUGUGUCAAAAUAACGCCUACAUUCCUUUAUCAUGCUUACAAAGCUAUUCAACAAUUUUCAUCUUCUAUUUUGUUUGUGGUUGCUUACUUGAUUUUCUUUAGGGGGCCUCACUACACCUUUAGCUUGUUUUCUGCGCAUAUGAAAAUUGAGCCGCGGUGUUCACUUGGGGGCCUAUCAGUUCAAUAUUUAUUGGAUUGCUCAGACUCUUUUCCACCGAAUCAAACUUUCUUUUUGACCCAUAUAUGUGAUGACCAUAAACUGAAGAAUGAUAGCAUGAGAAUUUGUACAAAUGGUGUGAAGUUUCAAAUGGAAGUUCGUAGCUGAGCAUGAUGUGCUAUUAGAUUAUGCAGAAUUGCAGAUUAUGUAGCGCGUUAUAUUGAUUGUACUCAUUCGCAGCUGAUUUGUACGAUUAUGAAGUUGCGAUGUAGACAUGGAGAUGUAUAUCUAUUUUGGAGGACUUGAUUUUUCACAUACCCCUCUCUUUCAUAUGAUGCGUUUUUGGUGUAUUUAAAAAUUGUGAUAAAACAGAAUGUAAAUCGUAGUUCUUCACUUCA